AAUCUGUUUAACAUUCUGGGCCUAGCUCAGUAUAGUCAUAUUUCCAUAAAGAAAUCAGGGAUUGCUGGAGUUUUUGCUUCAUUUGAGGUUGAGGAAAGCCAAAAUAUCUGUCUCUAUCAACUGAAGUCUGACUGUAGAACUGACUCUGCCUUGAUGCAAGAAUAAUCUCUCAUUUCAGAAGAUGUAGCCAUGCAAAUAAGUUUUAUUCAUUCUCAAGAUAAAAAUUUAAUCUUAUUCACUUCAUAGUAUUUAGGCAGAGACCAGGUUAAUUAAGGGAAAGCCAAGGUGCUUCCUUAGACUAUAAAUAGUGCCACAGAAACUAUCCUUAGUACCUUUAGAUUCAACUCCUUAUACACAUUUCAAGCAAUUCUGCAGCAUAAUGAUGUCUUGCUUUAUAUCAAAGGCAGAGCUUUCAGGGACAGAGGCUGUGUUUAACAAACACUGCUGGCUACUGAGACAAGUCAUACUGGGGAAUUGCCUCCAGCAGGAACUUCUCAGAAGGGGAAAAAGCGUCAAAUUAAUCGCUAAAGAUAAAAAAAGAAAAGAACGAUAAAAAUCAAACCCAGCAUGUGCACUGGAGAGAACAUACAUGCCACAACUUCAUAACAGUUCCUAAAGCCCCAUAAAUUUUCCUAUUGUUGCUUGUGUGACCAAGCUUGUAUGACUCAUGGAUUAGGCUGUGCCAGUCAGGGAUUGUUGUGUGACCAUCCCCAUCCUCCUGCAAUAAACACUCUCUGUGUCCUCUGCUCAACGCGUGAUUUCUUCAUUUUCCUCCCUUGCAGGGCAGAAACCUCAGUUGCUAUUCUGGUCCUUGAUAAAGGAAUGGCUCAGCUGCAGAGCUGGAAUGAGACAUGGGACAGACAGCAGAGCAUGUGAGUAGGAACCUUUUGCACAACCACAGGCGUGGGUUAAACAUUGAUGAUAUUUGGGAAGAGAGAGAUUUGCCACGAGCAUGUAGCAGAACAGAAUUUGGCACGAGCUUCCUCAGAGGGAAAAGAGUUCCUUAUAAACUAAGAACUUAGCCUAAUCUUAGCUCCAGGCAUGGACAGCCUGAAGCACAAUCAGCCUCGAGUGUCAGUAGUGUGAUUCAAUCAAAAGAGCGUGUGGAUUUUUCCAUCCAGCCUCUUCUUUUACCCACUACUCCCAUGGUGAGAGAUGGGGUCAAAAGCCAUAAAGUCUUCAGACUAAAAAGAAAUCAUAAUUUUAAAAGCCUCCAUGCCUCUGCUUUUUUUCCUUAUCCUACUUGAAUCCUAACAGGCUGAAUUUGUUCUUCCAAAUAAAACUGGGGAAGAAUGGAAUGUGGGUGAAAAACAUUUGUCUGUUUACUUGGUUUAAAAAAAGAUAUGCAUGACAAUGAAAGAAAAAGGUAAUCUCUUUCUUUGAAUUGAGCUUAAGAAAAAAAAGCUCUGAGCAUGCAAAAGACUCCCUUGCCUGUUCACACAGCUUCUGAGGAGUAGUUUUGACUGUGGUGCAUCCUUGAUCCCUCGAUCCAUGUCUUGUGCUAGAUGCAGAGGUGGGGCUGGAAGCUGAUGGGGACGCCACCAUUUGAAACAGUCCCAAAUCAACCCAAGGACUUCUUAAUUAGCUCACAGAGAAACCCAGUGAGCUUAAACUUCAUACAAAGAUGCAUUAAAUGUUUUACCUAUAGCCCCUCAAAGAGUACUUAGUUACAUGCGUGUACUAGGCUUGUGAAAUGCCUUAUUUAAGAUUUCAAAAAAAAAGAAAAAAAGAUAAAAAAAGAUAGACCAGGAUGGACAGAGAGCACACUUUGGCCCAGAGUUGUUUCAAACCCCCUGCCUGUACAUCUGCAUUGGCUCAAACGGGACUUUCAGUUUUUGGCUGCCUGAAAGUUGAUCCAUACCACGUUUGCUGCCCUGCCUCUCCUCCAGCAGAUGUGAUUUCAUGCUAAGGUUUUAGGGAAUUAAAAUGUAGAAACUCAGCCAAAUGGGCAUCAGCAUCCAUCAGAUAAAAUGUUUGAAUAAAUUUCCUUUAAUUCAAAUAAAAUUGCCUUGUAAGGACACAACACACAAAUAUUAACUACAGGGGAUAAAAGCCAGCAUUGAGAAAUGUCCCACUGGCUUCAACAAGCUGACUUCUGCUGUUAAAUCCACCUUGUCAGCUCUGCUCUGAACCAAGACUUUCUCUAUUCCAGCAGACAAAAAAGAAGAACAUUAACUAAAUAAGUUUAUGCAGAAUAUUGUUUCCUGUUGUUACACCAACUUUUGUCGCUGCUUGCAAGUGACUGAGCUUCUCUUUUCACAGAGUGUUUCACUAUUCACCUUUCUUUGCUUUGCUUUGCUCUAUUUUCAAUUUCUUCUGGUAGUGACCAUUGAGAGGAGCACCUGUAUGUGACACUAGGAGUAGGAAUAAUCACACAGCUAUUUCAGUUCCACUGCACCUGAAAGAUGCAGAAGCACCAGUGCAGGAGGGAAAACCAGUACUGUGGUUACCUCCCUGUGGGAAAAUUUCCCCAUGAUAAAGACAUUUAGUGUCCCAAACCAAGUCAUAUGAAUGUGGAGUGGAAAUUUCUUCAGGCUUUCACUGGGAAGUUUUCUUCAAAAUGUCUGCCAGACCCCAGAGUACAAGAUGUUCCUGGACAUAUUUGCUUUCUGUGGUGGUGUCUUCUCUGACUUGAGCAUGAUCAUAACUGAGUCCCAGCAUCCCAGCUGACAUCUUACCAAGCACUUAUGUAUCUCCUUACGUGCCCCAGUGUGGAAUGCACCUUCUUCACAAAAGAAUGGUGCUGUGACUCCAAAUCUCCUCUUCUUCUGUCAUUAAAAACUGCAGGCACCUUUUCCAGUUCUAGGAUAAGUAAUGGAACCAAACUUCUUCAUAUGGUUUUAAUUUGAUUUUUUUUCCUCAGCAUUUUUCUUACUGAGAGUCAUGCAAGUUCUCUUCAGCUAAUUUGGGAUUAUGAAAAAUGAGCAGAGGUU